UGGUGUAGCUCAGUCGGUAGAGCAGCUCAUUCGUAAUGAGCAGGUCGGGGGUUCAAGUCCGUUCACC
rnacentral:tRNA from 1 species